GCUUUCGUGGUGUAACGGUAGCACACUGGGCACCUAUUCGAGAGGUCCAGGUUCAAGUCCCGGCGAGGGCA
rnacentral:tRNA from 1 species